AUUGAACGCUGGCGGCAGGCCUAACACAUGCAAGUCGAGCGCGAAAGGCUUUCGGGCUGAGUAGAGCGGCGGACGGGUGAGUAACGCGUAGGAAUCUACCUGGUAGUGGGGGACAACUUGGGGAAACUCAAGCUAAUACCGCAUACGCCCUAUGGGGGAAAGUGGGGGACCUUCGGGCCGUCACGCUAUCAGAUGAGCCUGCGUAGGAUUAGCUAGUUGGUGAGGUAAAGGCUCACCAAGGCGACGAUCCUUAGCUGGUCUGAGAGGAUGAUCAGCCACACUGGGACUGAGACACGGCCCAGACUCCUACGGGAGGCAGCAGUGGGGAAUAUUGCGCAAUGGGGGCAACCCUGACGCAGCCAUGCCGCGUGUGUGAAGAAGGCCUCGG
rnacentral:rRNA from 1 species